GAUAUCGAUGAUUGUGCUUCUGCCACUUGCCCUCAGCACAAAUUUUGUAGUGAUAAACUCCUGGGUUAUGAUUGUACUUGCUACGCUUGUGCUGAGAAAUGCCAAUAUCGCUCAAUUUUCAUAGAGGAACUUGGAACUUGUUAUAAGCUCAUUACUGGAGUGAUGACCCUCGAGGACGCAAUGCAACGUUGUACACGAGACUUCGUUAACAUGCAUUAUGUAAACCGUGACGAAGAAUUUCCAAUAUUGGCUUCCCAUUUACUGUCUGGCAUUUCGGAUUGGGCCUGGGUUGCACGUGGCAGAGCAUACAGUGGCUCUAUUAAUGGUUCCUGCCUUGGUAUGAGAUCGAUCCCUAAGUCGCCUGAGGCUAUGAGUCUGCCCUGUGAUUCCAAGCUCAGAUAUGCUGUUUGUGUUGCAAAGAAAUACUAUUA